rnacentral:misc_RNA from 1 species
UACGUAGGGGGCGAGCGUUGUCCGGAAUUAUUGGGCGUAAAGCGCGCGCAGGCGGUCUCUUAAGUCUGAUGUGAAAGCCCACGGCUCAACCGUGGAGGGUCAUUGGAAACUGGGGGACUUGAGGGCAGGAGAGGAGAGCGGAAUUCCACGUGUAGCGGUGAAAUGCGUAGAGAUGUGGAGGAACACCAGUGGCGAAGGCGACUUUCUGGUCUGUAACUGACGCUGAGGCGCGAAAGCGUGGGGAGCAAACAGG